GGAAUAUUGCACAAUGGGGGCAACCCUGAUGCAGCGACGCCGCGUGGGCGAUGAAGGUUUUCGGAUCGUAAAGCCCUUUUCUGCGUGACGAUAAUGACGGUAGCGCCGGAAUAAGUUUCCGCUAACUACGUGCCAGCGACCGCGGUAAAACGUAGGACGCAAACGUUACCCGGAAUUACUGGGCGUAAAGGGCGCGCAGGCGGUUGGAUAAGUUAGGCAUGAAAGCUCCCUGGCUAAACCGGGAGAGGCUGUCUGAUACUGUCCAGCUAGAGUGAGGUAGAGGGGUGUAGAAUUCCGCGUGUAGUGGUGAAAUGCGUAGAUAUGCGGAGGAAUACCAGUGGCGAAGGCGGCACCCUGGACCUAAACUGACGCUGAGGCGCGAAAGCAUGGGUAGCGAAC
rnacentral:rRNA from 1 species